UACAGAGGGUGCGAGCGUUAAUCGGAAUUACUGGGCGUAAAGCGCGCGUAGGCGGCUUGGAAAGUCGGGUGUGAAAUCCCCAGGCUUAACCUGGGAACUGCAUCCAAAACUGGCAAGCUGGAGUACGGUAGAGGGUGGUGGAAUUUCGGUGUAGCGGUGAAAUGCGUAGAUAUCGGAAGGAACACCAGUGGCGAAGGCGACCACCUGGACUGAUACUGACACUGAGGCGCGAAAGCGUGGGGAGCAAACAGG
rnacentral:rRNA from 1 species